rnacentral:misc_RNA from 1 species
ACACCUCAACUCUCAUGGUUUGCCAUGAUGAGCUUGGACUUUGGAGGUUUUGCUGGCAUCUGUGGUCAGCUCCUCUCAAAUGAAUCAGCUUGCUAGUGAUUGGUGGCAUUGUGGGUGUGAUAACUAUCUACGCCCGUGGGUGUCCACCAGGCAACCUUCAGUGAUGGAGGUUCACAGGGGCUUAGAAACGUCUCUCCUCAGCGAGGGACAGCAUUUGAAC